AAUGAUUGGAUGAUGGGUAGCAAUUUUGAAACACCCUUCUAAAAGCAUCUAAACUUGGACAUGGUGGUUCAAUCGGGAAAUACAUUUUUCUCAAGUGGGAGAAGUCAGGCGUCGGAUACUGAUGAGUAAAGCCACAUUGAGCUGUCUGCUCUGUCCAUCAUGGAGAAUCGAACCUCGGAUUUUAACAUUUUAAGUCCGCAGACUUACUGGGGAACAUCAGUUGUUGCAAUUUUAAGGUUUCUUGUAAGUAAAAAUGCUCACAAUUCUGACAAAUAUAAAUACUUUAUGUGAGGAUACAAAAAAAAUGUAUUGUUUCAUGCAAAAAACAUACAAGGAAUGAGAUUUAGGUUUUGUACAAAACCAAAAUGAUUCCCUAAUAACAAUGAAAUUAAAAAAAGUGGGUUCAUUGGUUUUGACACUCUAUUGAUAUUGUAAAAAUCAAAAUUGAACAUAAAAAUGUGCUUAGAUCCUUA